AUUGAACGCUGGCGGCAGGCUUAACACAUGCAAGUCGAGCGGGGUGAUGGUGCUUGCACUAUCACUUAGCGGCGGACGGGUGAGUAAUGCUUAGGAAUCUGCCUAUUAGUGGGGGACAACAUCUCGAAAGGGAUGCUAAUACCGCAUACGUCCUACGGGAGAAAGCAGGGGAUCACUUGUGACCUUGCGCUAAUAGAUGAGCCUAAGUCGGAUUAGCUAGUUGGUGGGGUAAAGGCCUACCAAGGCGACGAUCUGUAGCGGGUCUGAGAGGAUGAUCCGCCACACUGGGACUGAGACACGGCCCAGACUCCUACGGGAGGUAGCAGUGGGGAAUAUUGGACAAUGGGGGGAACCCUGAUCCAGCCAUGCCGCGUGUGUGAAGAAGGCCUUAUGGUUGUAAAGCACUUUAAGCGAGGAGGAGGCUCUUUUGGUUAAUACCCAAGAUGAGUGGACGUUACUCGCAGAAUAAGCACCGGCUAACUCUAUGCCAGCAGCCGCGGUAA
rnacentral:rRNA from 1 species